rnacentral:rRNA from 1 species
ACUCCUACGGGAGGCAGCAGUGGGGAAUAUUGCACAAUGGGCGCAAGCCUGAUGCAGCCAUGCCGCGUGUGUGAAGAAGGCCUUGGGUUGUAAAGCACUUUCAGUCGUGAGGAAGGUAGUGUAGUUAAUAGCUGCAUUAUUUGUACGUUAGCGACAGAAGAAGCACCGGCUAACUCCGUGCCAGCAGCCGCGGUAAUACGGAGGGUGCGAGCGUUAAUCGGAAUUACUGGGCGUAAAGCGCAUGCAGGUGGUUGUUAAGUCAGAUGUGAAAGCCCGGGGCUCAACCUCGGAAUAGCAUUUGAAACUGGCAGACUAGAGUACUGUAGAGGGGGUAGAAUUUCAGGUGUAGCGGUGAAAUGCGUAGAGAUCUGAAGGAAUACCGGUGGCGAAGGCGGCCCCUGGACAGAUACUGACACUCAGAUGCGAAA